GAUGAACGCUGGCGGCGUGCCUAAUACAUGCAAGUCGCGCGAAGCGGGGACGGGGGAGUAACACGUGGAGAACCUCCUAUAUGCCUGGGAUACCUUCGUGCAACCGGCGAUAAACCGGAUACUUAUAACUGGAUCCACGCUGAAUUACCUCGUUGGUAAGGUAACGGCUUACCAAUGCACCGAUGCAUAGCCGACCCGAGAGUGUGAUCGGCCACAAUGGAACGUAGACACGGUCCAGAAUCCGACGGGAGGCAGAAGUAGGGAAGCGUCCGCAAUGGGCGAAAGCCUGACGGAGCAACGCCGCGUGAGUGAUGAAGGUCUUCGGAUCGUAAAACUCUGUUAUUAGGGAAGCGGUACCUAAUCAGAAAGCCACGGCUAACUACGUGCCAGCAGCCGCGGUAAUUC
rnacentral:rRNA from 1 species